ensembl:snRNA U7 U7 small nuclear RNA
AAGUAUUAUAGCUCUUUCAAAAUUUGUCUAGCAGAUUUUCUGGUUUUUACCAGAAGACUGUCUAC